rnacentral:rRNA from 1 species
UACGUAGGGUCCGAGCGUUGUCCGGAGUUACUGGGCGUAAAGCGCGCGCAGGCGGCGGUGCUGGCCCGGCGUGAAAGCCCCCGGCUCAACCGGGGAGGGUCGUCGGGGACCGCACCGCUUGAGGGCGGUAGGGGCUGGUGGAAUGCCUGGUGUAGUGGUGAAAUGCGUAGAGAUCAGGCGGAACACCUGGGGCGAAGGCGGCCAGCUGGGCCAUUCUUGACGCUGAGGCGCGAAAGCUAGGGGAGCAAACGGG